rnacentral:rRNA from 1 species
CCUACGGGGGGCAGCAGUGGGGAAUCUUGGACAAUGGGCGCAAGCCUGAUCCAGCCAUGCCGCGUGAGUGAUGAAGGCCCUAGGGUUGUAAAGCUCUUUCGCCAGGGAAGAUAAUGACGGUACCUGGAUAAGAAGCCCCGGCUAACUCCGUGCCAGCAGCCGCGGUAAUACGGAGGGGGCUAGCGUUGUUCGGAAUUACUGGGCGUAAAGCGCACGUAGGCGGCUAUCCAAGUUGGGGGUGAAAUCCCUGGGCUUAACCCAGGAACUGCCUUCAAAACUGGAUGGCUAGAGUCCGAGAGAGGUGAGUGGAAUUUCCAGUGUAGAGGUGAAAUUCGUAGAUAUUGGAAAGAACACCAGUGGCGAAGGCGGCUCACUGGCUCGGUACUGACGCUGAGGUGCGACAGCGUGGGGAGCAAACAGGAUUAGAUACCCGAGUAGUC